UACGUAGGGUGCGAGCGUUAAUCGGAAUUACUGGGCGUAAAGCGUGCGCAGGCGGUUUUGUAAGCCAGGUGUGAAAUCCCCGGGCUCAACCUGGGAAUGGCAUUUGGGACUGCAAGGCUGGAGUGUGGCGGAGGAGACUGGAAUUCCUGGUGUAGCAGUGAAAUGCGCAGAUAUCAGGAGGAACACCGGUGGCGAAGGCGGGUCUCUGGGCCGAUACUGACGCUGAGGAGCGAAAGCGUGGGGAGCAAACAGG
rnacentral:rRNA from 1 species